UACGUAGGGGGCAAGCGUUAUCCGGAUUUACUGGGUGUAAAGGGAGCGUAGACGGCGCGGCAAGUCUGAAGUGAAAGGCAGGGGCUUAACCCCUGAACUGCUUUGGAAACUGCCAUGCUAGAGUGCUGGAGAGGUAAGUGGAAUUCCUAGUGUAGCGGUGAAAUGCAUAGAUAUAACUUAGAACACCGAUAGCGAAGGCAGCUUACCAGACUGAGUCUGACGCUGAUGCACGAGAGCGUGGGUAGCGAACAGG
rnacentral:rRNA from 1 species